GUGGGGAAUAUUGGACAAUGGGCGAAAGCCUGAUCCAGCCAUGCCGCGUGUGUGAAGAAGGUCUUCGGAUUGUAAAGCACUUUAAGUUGGGAGGAAGGGUAGUAACCUAAUACGUUGCUACUUUGACGUUACCGACAGAAUAAGCACCGGCUAACUUCGUGCCAGCAGCCGCGGUAAUACGAAGGGUGCAAGCGUUAAUCGGAAUUACUGGGCGUAAAGCGCGCGUAGGUGGUUUUGUAAGUUGGAGGUGAAAUCCCCGGGCUCAACCUGGGAACUGCCUCCAAAACUGCAUGACUAGAGUACGGUAGAGGGUAGUGGAAUUUCCUGUGUAGCGGUGAAAUGCGUAGAUAUAGGAAGGAACACCAGUGGCGAAGGCGACUACCUGGACUGAUACUGACACUGAGGUGCGAAAGCGUGGGGAGCAAACAGGAUUAGAUACCCUAGUAGUCC
rnacentral:rRNA from 1 species